rnacentral:rRNA from 1 species
UACGUAGGUGGCAAGCGUUGUCCGGAAUUAUUGGGCGUAAAGCGCGCGCAGGUGGUUUCUUAAGUCUGAUGUGAAAGCCCACGGCUCAACCGUGGAGGGUCAUUGGAAACUGGGGAACUUGAGUGCAGGAGAGAAGAGUGGAAUUCCAGGUGUAGCGGUGAAAUGCGUAGAUAUCUGGAGGAAUACCGGUGGCGAAGGCGGCUCACUGGACCGGAACUGACGCUGAGGCGCGAAAGCGUGGGGAGCAAACCAGG